rnacentral:rRNA from 1 species
UAACCUGCCUCUUAGCGGGGAAUAACUAUUGGAAACGAUAGCUAAUACCGCAUAAAAGUCGAUAUCGCAUGAUAUUGAUUUGAAAGGUGCAAUUGCAUCACUAAGAGAUGGACCUGCGUUGUAUUAGCUAGUUGGUGAGGUAACGGCUCACCAAGGCGACGAUACAUAGCCGACCUGAGAGGGUGAUCGGCCACACUGGGACUGAGACACGGCCCAG